AUUGAACGCUGGCAGCAGGCCUAACACCUGCAAGUCGAACGAGUGGCGGACGGGUCAGUAAUGUAUGGGAACCGAACUGAUGGAGGGGGCUCAGUAAUGGAAACGGUAGAUACAACCGUACACCAUCGGAAGUGCCCCGAUCGGAUUAGCUAGUAGGUGGGGUAAAGGCUCACCUAGGCGACGAUCCCUAGCUGGUCUUAGAGGAUGAACAGCCUCACUGGAACUGAGACCCCGUCCAGACUCCCACGGGGGGUAGCAGUCGGGAAUAUUGCACAAUGGGCGCAAGCCUGUUGCAGCCUUGCCGCGUGUAUGAAGAAGGCCUUCCGGUUGUAAAGUUCUUGCAGCUGGGGUGCGUUGCCCGCAUAAGAAGCACCGGCUAACUCCGUGCCAGCAGCCGCGGUAAUUC
rnacentral:rRNA from 1 species